AGAUUGAACGCUGGCGGCAGGCCUAACACAUGCAAGUCGAGCGGCAGCACGGGUACUUGUACCUGGUGGCGAGCGGCGGACGGGUGAGUAAUGCCUAGGAAUCUGCCUGGUAGUGGGGGAUAACGCUCGGAAACGGACGCUAAUACCGCAUACGUCCUACGGGAGAAAGCAGGGGACCUUCGGGCCUUGCGCUAUCAGAUGAGCCUAGGUCGGAUUAGCUAGUUGGUGGGGUAAUGGCUCACCAAGGCGACGAUCCGUAACUGGUCUGAGAGGAUGAUCAGUCACACUGGAACUGAGACACGGUCCAGACUCCUACGGGAGGCAGCAGUGGGAAUAUUGGACAAUGGGCGAAAGCCUGAUCCAGCCAUGCCGCGUGUGUGAAGAAGGUCUUCGGAUUGUAAAGCACUUUAAGUUGGAGAAGGCAGUUACCUAAUACGUAUCUGUUUUGACGUUACCGACAGAAUAAGCACCGGCUAAACUCUGUGCCAGCAACG
rnacentral:rRNA from 1 species